AUCGAUGAAGAACGCAGCGAAAUGCGAUAAGUAAUGUGAAUUGCAGAAUUCAGUGAAUCAUCGAAUCUUUGAACGCACCUUGCGCUCUCUGGUAUUCCGGAGAGCACGCCUGUUCGAGUGUCAUGAAACUCUCAAGCAAGAAUUAAGCUUUAUUGCUUGAUUCUUGAUUGGAUUUGGACUCUUGCCGCGUUAUUGCGGCUGGUCUUAAAAGUAUUAGCUGGUCUGUAAGAAAUCUUUGGGUUUGACUUGGCGUAAUAAUCUUAUUCGCUGAGGACACUUCGGUGGCCUAAUUUCUUUACUGGACUGCUUCUAAUCGUCUCCUUUGUGAGACAACUUUCAUUCAAUCUGACCUCGAAUCAGGUGGGACUACCCGCUGAACUUAAGCAUAUCAAUAAGCGGAGGAAAAGAAACUAACAAGGAUUCCCCUAGUAACGGCGAGUGAAGCGGGAUGAGCUCAAAUUUAAAAUCUGGUGGUCUUUGGCCAUCCGAGUUGUAAUCUAGAGAAGUGUUUUCCGUGCUGGACCGUGUACAAGUUUCCUGGAACGGAACGUCAUAGAGGGUGAGAAUCCCGUCCUUGACACGGACUACCAGUGCUUUGUGAUACACUCUCAACGAGUCGAGUUGUUUGGGAUUGCAGCUCAAAAUGGGAGGUAAAUUCCUUCUAAAGCUAAAUAUUGGCGAGAGACCGAUAGCGAACAAGUACCGUGAGGGAAAGAUGAAAAGCACUUUGGAAAGAGAGUUAAACAGUACGUGAAAUUGUUAAAAGGGAAACGAUUGAAGUCAGUCGCGUCUGCUUGGACUCAGCCUUACCUCGGUUUGGUGUAUUUCCUUGUAGACGGGCCAGCGUCAAUGUUAUUUACUGGAAAAGGGUUAAAGGAAUGUGGCUCUUUCGGGAGUGUUAUAGCCUUUGAUCGUAUACAGCGAGUGAUAUUGAGUGGUACAGCAUGCUUCGGCGGUGCUUGUGCUGGCAUAAUGGCUUUAAACGACCCGUCUUGAAACACGG
rnacentral:rRNA from 1 species